UACGUAGGGUGCAAGCGUUGUCCGGAAUUAUUGGGCGUAAAGAGCUCGUAGGCGGUCUGUCGCGUCUGCUGUGAAAACUCGGGGCUUAACCCCGGGCUUGCAGUGGGUACGGGCAGACUAGAGUGCGGUAGGGGAGACUGGAAUUCCUGGUGUAGCGGUGAAAUGCGCAGAUAUCAGGAGGAACACCGGUGGCGAAGGCGGGUCUCUGGGCCGUAACUGACGCUGAGGAGCGAAAGCAUGGGGAGCGAACAGG
rnacentral:rRNA from 1 species